UACGUAGGGCGCAAGCGUUAUCCGGAAUUAUUGGGCGUAAAGCGCUCGCAGGUGGUUCGUCGCGUCGUGCGUGAAAGACCCCGGCUCAACUGGGGAGGGUCGUGCGAUACGGGCGAACUGGAGGCCAGUAGGGGGAUGCGGAAUUCCGGGUGUAGUGGUGGAAUGCGUAGAGAUCCGGAGGAACACCAGCGGCGAAGGCGGCAUCCUGGACUGGUCCUGACACUCAGGAGCGAAAGCGUGGGGAGCGAUCCGG
rnacentral:rRNA from 1 species